rnacentral:tRNA from 1 species
AGGGAUAUAGUUAAUUAUAUUAUAAUAUUUAUUUUGCUAAUAAAAGUAAUAUGGUAUUUAUUAUUCUUA